rnacentral:ncRNA from 1 species
ACUGUGGAGUGUUAUACAAACACAAGUAGAGUGAUAUUUCUCAAAAGUGGAUACAGUAAAGCAGUAA